CCUACGGGUGACAGCAGUGGGGGAUAUUGGACAAUGGGGGGAACCCUGAUCCAGCGACGCCGCGUGAGUGAAGAAGUAUUUCGGUAUGUAAAGCUCUGUCAGCAGGGAAGAAAGAAAUGACGGUACCUGACCAAGAAGCCUCGGCUAACUACGUGCCAGCAGCCGCGGUAAUACGUAGGGGGCAAGCGUUAUCCGGAAUUACUGGGUGUAAAGGGAGCGUAGACGGUUAAGUAAGUCUGGAGUGAAAGGCCGGGGCCCAACCCCGGGACUGCUCUGGAAACUAUUGGACUUGAGUGCAGGGGAGGUAAGCGGAAUUCCUAGUGUAGCGGUGAAAUGCGUAGAUAGUAGGAGGAACACCAGUGGCGAAGGCGGCUUACUGGACUGUAACUGACGUUGAGGCUCGAAAGCGUGGGGAGCAAACAGGAUUAGAUACCCGGGUAGUC
rnacentral:rRNA from 1 species